rnacentral:rRNA from 1 species
AGUGAACGCUGGCGGUAGGCCUAACACAUGCAAGUCGAACGGCAGCACAGUAAGAGCUUGCUCUUACGGGUGGCGAGUGGCGGACGUGUGAGGAAUACAUCGGAAUCUACUUUUUCGUGGGGCUUAACGUAGGGAAACUUACGCUAAUACCGCAUACGACCUACGGGUGAAAGCAGGGGAUCUUCGGACCUUGCGCGAUUGAAUGAGCCGGUGUGGGAUUAGCUAGUUGGCGGGGUAAAGGCCCACCAAGGCGACGAUCCGUAGCUGGUAUGAGAGGAUGAUCAGCCACACUGGAAAUGAGAAACGGUCAAGACUCCUACGGGAGGCAGCAGUGGGGAAUAUUGGACAAUGGGGGCAAGCAUGAUCCAGACAGACCGCGUGGGUGAAGAAGGCCUUCGGGUUGUAAAGCCCUUUUGUUGGGAAAGAAAAGCAGCAGGUUAAUACCCCGCUGUUCUGACGGUACCAAAAGAAUAAGCACCGGCUAACUUCGUG